AUUGAACGCUGGCGGCAUGCCUUACACAUGCAAGUCGAACGGCAGCACGGGAGCAAUCCUGGUGGCGAGUGGCGAACGGGUGAGUAAAGUAUCGGAACGUGCCCAGUCGUGGGGGAUAACGUAACGAAAGUUACGCUAAUACGGCAUACGAUCUAUGGACGAAAGCGGGGGAUCGCAAGACCCAGCGCGACUGGAGCGGCCGAUACCAGAUUAGGUAGUUGGUGGGGUAAAGGCUCACCAAGCCGACGAUCUGUAGCUGGUCUGAGAGGACGACCAGCCACACUGGGACUGAGACACGGCCCAGACUCCUACGGGAGGCAGCAGUGGGGAAUUUUGGACAAUGGGCGAAAGCCUGAUCCAGCCAUGCCGCGUGCAGGAUGAAGGCCUUCGGGUUGUAAGCUGCUUUUGUACGGAACGAAAAGGUUUGGCCUAAUAAGCUGAGCUCAUGACGGUACCGUAAGAAUAAGCACCGGCUAACUACGUGCCAGCCGCCGCAGUAA
rnacentral:rRNA from 1 species